UGCUCAACAAAUUCCAUUCAACGGACA
rnacentral:piRNA from 1 species